rnacentral:rRNA from 1 species
AUACGUAGGGUGCAAGCGUUAAUCGGAAUUACUGGGCGUAAAGCGUGCGCAGGCGGUUUUGUAAGACAGUGGUGAAAUCCCCGGGCUCAACCUGGGAACUGCCAUUGUGACUGCAAGGCUGGAGUGCGGCAGAGGGGGAUGGAAUUCCGCGUGUAGCAGUGAAAUGCGUAGAUAUGGGGAGGAACACCGAUGGCGAAGGCAAUCCCCUGGGCCUGCUCUGACGCUCAUGCACGAAAGCGUGGGGAGCAAACAGGAUUAGAUACCCUGGUAGUCCACGCCCUAAACGAUGUCAACUGGUUGUUGGGGAUUUAUUUUCUCAGUAACGAAGCUAACGCGUGAAGUUGACCGCCUGGGGAGUACGGCCGCAAGGUUAAAACUCAAAGGAAUUGACGGGG